AAAAACUCCGGUGGUAUGAGAUGGACCCGCGUCUGAUUAGCUAGUUGGUGAGGUAACGGCCCACCAAGGCGACGAUCAGUAGCCGGCCUGAGAGGGCGACCGGCCACAUUGGGACUGAGACACGGCCCAAACUCCUACGGGAGGCAGCAGUGGGGAAUAUUGCACAAUGGGGGAAACCCUGAUGCAGCGACGCCGCGUGAGUGAAGAAGUAUUUCGGUAUGUAAAGCUCUAUCAGCAGGGAAGAAGAAAGACGGUACCUGACUAAGAAGCCCCGGCUAACUACGUGCCAGCAGCCGCGGUAAUACGUAGGGGGCAAGCGUUAUCCGGAUUUACUGGGUGUAAAGGGAGCGUAGACGGCUGUGCAAGUCUGAAGUGAGAGCCCAGGGCUCAACCCUGGGACUGCUUUGGAAACUGCGGAGCUAGAGUGCUGGAGAGGUAAGUGGAAUUCCUAGUGUAGCGGUGAAAUGCGUAGAUAUUAGGAGGAACACCAGUGGCGAAGGCGGCUUACUGGACAGUAACUGACGUUGAGGCUCGAAAGCGUGGGGAGCAAACAGGAUUAGAUACCCUGGUAGUCCACGCGGUAAACGAUGAAUACUAGGUGUUGGAGAGCAAAGCUUUUCG
rnacentral:rRNA from 1 species